rnacentral:rRNA from 1 species
CAGGUUCGAUUAUGGCUCAGAUUGAACGCUGGCGGGAUGCUUUACACAUGCGUCGAACGGCAGCACGGACUUCGGUCUGGUGGCGAGUAUGAACGGGUGAGUAAUGUAUCGGAACGUGCCUAGUAUGGGGAGUGACUUGAGCGAAAGCGUAGCUACCGCAUAUUGCCCUUCGGGGAAAGCGGGGGACCUUCGGGCCUCGCACUAUUAGAGCGGCCGAUAUCGGAUUAGCUAGUUGGUGGGGUAACGGCUCACCAAGGCGACGAUCCGGUAGCUGGUUUGAGAGGAUGACCAGCCACACUGGGACUGGUGGAUGACGGCCCAGACUCCUACGGGAGGCAGCAGUGGGAACGGAAUGGGGAAACUCCCUGAUCCAGCCAUCAUCCCGCGUGUGCGAUGAAGGCCUUCGCUAAAGCACUUUUGGCAGGAAAGAAACGGCACGAUGAAUGGCCUCGUGCAAACUGACGGCACCUGCAGAAUAAGCACCGCUAACUAUGCCAGCAGCCGCGGUAACAGCCGUAGGGUGCAAGCGUUAAUCGGAAUUACUGGCGUAAAGCGUGCGCAGGCGGUUCGGAAAGAAAGAUGUGAAAUCAGAGCUUAACUUUGGAACUGCAUUUUUAACUACCGAGCUAGAGUGUGUCAGAGGGAGGUGGAAUUCGCGUGUAGCAGUGAAAUGCGUAGAUAUGCGGAGGAACGAUCGAUGGCGAAGGCAAGCCUCCUGGGAUAACACUGGCGCUCAUGCACGAAAGCGUGGGGAGCAAACAGGAUUAGAUACCCCUUGGUAGUCCACGCUCUAAACGAAGGUCAACUACGCGUUGGGGCCUUCGGGCCUGGUAGCGCAGCUAACGCGUGAAGUUGACCGCCUGGGGGAGUACGGUCGCAAGAUUAAAACCUCAGUAAUGAUGACCCGCACAAGCGGUGGAUGAUGUGGAUUAAUUCGAUGCAACGCGAAAAACCGCCUACCCUUGACAGUGUCUGGAAUCCCGAAGAUUUGGGAAAGUGCUCGCAAGAGAACCCGAACACAGGUGCUGCAUGGCUGUCGUCAGCUCGUGUCGUGAGAUGUUGGGUUAAGUCCCGCAAUUGAGCGCAACCCUUGUCAUUAGUUGCUACGAAAGGGCACUCUACGACUGCCGGUGAUGGAAGCGUGGACACGUCAAGUCCUCAUGGCCCUUAUGGGUAGGGUCGUCAUCGUCAUACAAUGGUCGGGACAGAGGGUCGCCAACCCGCGAGGGGGAGCCAAUCCCAGAAACCCGAUCGUAGUCCGGAUCGCAGUCUGCAACGACCAGUAAAUGGAAUCGCUAGUAAUCGCGGACUGAGUGUCGCAGAAUACGUUCCCGGGUCUUGUACACUGCCCGUCACACCAUGGGAGUGGGUUUUACCAGAAGUAGUUAGCCUAACCGUAAGGGAGGGCGAUUACCACGGUAGAUUCAUGACUGGGGUGAAGUCGUAACAAGGUAACCCC